rnacentral:lncRNA from 1 species
AGCAGGCCCUCUUGAGGGCUUCUCUCCCCAGAUUAUGGCUCCCUGGGAGUUUGCAGCCUCUAAGGAAUGUGGAGGAACACACAGAUUCCCAGUUUGGGGCCUGGAGCUCUCCUGGGGGACAAAGGGAACAGCCUGAGUCAGCUGAUUGCCUGGCAGGUGAGUUAUGAAACAUCUGGAUGGGAGUACUAUUUACUUUGUUAGUAAAUCUAAAGAUCAUCCACCGUAGCACUCAAUACCUGGGCCUUGAUGCACGUGGAAACAAAUACCUUUUGUAGAACAGGAACCUAGCCAGGCACUUUGCUGAGAAUUGUGUAUGCAUCGUUUCUCUUAAUCUUCACAGGAUCCAUGGGGAGCUUUGUCAUGAUUCCCAUUGACAGAAUGGGGCUUCUGGAUGUUAGCUGCAGUGUCCAAAGUCACCCCGCUGGUGAGUGCAGAACUGGGACUUGAACCUUCAUUUCUUUAACUAUAAAAUCUAGGCUUUUCACUAUCAUCCUAAGCUACCCAAGCAGAGCAUCCUAGAGCUGAAGAUGUCAUCAAUAUUUCCCACCCCUGUCUGCAGCUUAGAAUUCCCAGGGGAACCAUUAAAACGUAUGAAUGUCCCUGUGCAUCUGUAAGUUAAUGAACGUUCUGGGUGAGACCUGGCCUGACCAGUGCUCUGAAUAAUUCUGAGGGGCAGCCUAGAUGAGAACUAGUAGAAUUUAAUGCCCCCCCCCACCUUUUUUUUUAGUAAUGACAAAACUGAGGCCCAGGGAGUGACUUGCCCAAGGUGUUUAAUUUUUUUUUUUUUUAAUUUUUAUACUGGGAAUUGAACCCAGGACCUUGUGCCAGCUAAGUACAUGCUGUAUUGCUGAGCUAUAUCUCCAGCCUCAAGCUUUCCCAAGUUUACACUUCUAUAAUUCUAUAUAUUAAGUAGCAGAGUUGGAGCUAGGUCAAGUCCAUACAUAGAGCCCUGUGUGGCCACAGGUUCUGUGGGAAGUAAUGAUUAAAAGGCUUUAGAUGGUGUUGCUUCCAGACAGGUCCCUAGACGCACCCAUACUCUCUUCCCCUCAAACCACAAGUGCUUAUUUCUCCACACUCAGCCCUCAAAUGCCAAUUUGAACAUUGAGACAUUUGUUCUGUCUCUCUAGUGGCCUUUUCGUGGUCAUAUUUAGAAUGUUAAAAUCUCAUGUUGCAGCUCCUCCGUAGCCUGGGGAGAGGGUGUCAAGAUGCAGACACCUCCCUUACUCUCAAGCAUGCCUAGGUCCUCUGUUCCCAGAUGCUCUGACCUGUGAGAGUGGCUACAUGUUGCCCUUUCAGACGGUUGUACAUAUCUUUCUUCUUGGUAAGGCUGGGCCACUGCCACACGGUCAGCUCCACAUGGCAAAUCUGUGUCCAAAGGUCACAGAGCCUGGAGUUAGACCCUGAGAACCCAAUACCCGGAGGUCAAUGGCUGAACAGAGGUAAAGGGGGUGGAGAGUGGAGGAAGGGGCAUGGCGAAGAGCCAGCUUGUCUGGAGGAAGGUGAGAAUCAGGGAGGGGUUGGAGGGAGUGGCAGGAGAAUCUCUCAUUUACCUUCUUCUCUGGGAGCCAGCCAGCUAUGGUCAGCAUAGGGCUCCAGCAAGCUGCAGGCAGCACUGGGCUGUACUUCUCAGGAAGUGUGAGACAUCUGGGGAUGUGCUUUGAGAGGCAGAACAGGAGUGGAGGCCCCAAAGUGGCCCAGGAGCCUGACCCCAGGGCAGGGAAUCCCCAUCUUUUGGUGAGGGGAAGUUGUGUUAUCUCAUCAUGCCCUUUGCUUCAUAAUCUGUCAGCUCACUGCCAUGUUUGCCCAGUCAACUUCUUUGUCUUCCUACCCCUCCUUGUUGACUCUUGCCCUCCCUUGGAGCAACUCUGUUGGUGAAGGAGAGAGCCAUGUUAGUAUAUGCCAGAGCCCUGAGAUGGUACCUUUCCCAUCUGUGCCCACACAAGAGAAGCUGUGAAUAUGGAAGACCUCAGCAAGGUCCCUGAGCAU